CCUACGGGCGGCAGCAGUGAGGAAUAUUGGUCAAUGGGCGCGAGCCUGAACCAGCCAAGUCGCGUGAGGGAAGACGGUCCUAUGGAUUGUAAACCUCUUUUGUCGGGGGGCAAAAGACGCCACGCGUGGCGUUCCGAGAGUACCCGAAGAAAAAGCAUCGGCUAACUCCGUGCCAGCAGCCGCGGUAAUACGGAGGAUGCGAGCGUUAUCCGGAUUUAUUGGGUUUAAAGGGUGCGCAGGCGGAAGAUCAAGUCAGUGGUAAAAUUGAGAGGCUCAACCUCUUCGUGCCGUUGAAACUGGUUUGCUUGAGUGAGCGAGAAGUAUGCGGAAGGCGUGGUGUAGCGGUGAAAUGCAUAGAUAUCACGAAGAACUCCGAUUGCGAAGGCAGCAUACCGGCGCUCAACUGACGCUCAUGCACGAAAGUGUGGGUAUCGAACAGGAUUAGAUACCCUAGUAGUC
rnacentral:rRNA from 1 species